rnacentral:rRNA from 1 species
GGUUCAGUAUAGCUCCAGAUUGAACGCUGGCGGGAUGUACAUGCAAGUCGAACGGCAGCACGGACUUCGGUCUGGUGAGUGGCGAACAGGUGAGUAAUGUAUCGGAACGUGCUAUUAAUGGCGGGGACUGGCUUCCGCGGCGUAAGCUAUUUACCGCCAUACAAGCCAGGGGACCUUCGGGCCUCACUAUUAGAGCAGCCGAUAUCGGAUUAGCUAUUUGGUGGGGUAACAGCUCACCAGGCGACGAUCCUUAAAAGCUGGUUGAGAGACGACCAGCACACUGGGACUGAGACGAACUCCUACGGAGAGGCAGCAGUGGAAUUUGGACAAUGGGAAACUGAUCCAGCCAUCCCGCGUGUGCGAUGAAGGCCUUCGGGCUGUAAAAAAAGCACUUUUAGCGGAAAAAAACGGCACGGGAUAAUACCCCGUACAGCUGACGAAAACACCUGCAGAAUAAGCGCCGGCUAACUACGUGUGGCAGCCGCGGUAAUACGUAGGGUGCAAGCGUUAAUCGGAAUUACUGGGCGUAAAGCGAUAACAGGCGGUUCAGAAGAAAAGAUGUAGAAAUCCCAGAGCUUAACUUUGGAACUGCAUUUUAACUACCGAGCUAGGAAGUGUGUCAGAGGAGGUGGAAUUCCACAAUCAUAGCAUUAGUACGUAGAUAUGGGCACCGAUGGCAAGGCAGCCUCCUGGGAUGCUACUGACGCUCAUGCACAGCGUGGGGAGCAAACAGGAUUAGAUACCCUGGUAGUCCACGCCCUAAACGUGUCAACUAGCUGUUGGGGCCUUCAGGCCUUGGUAGCGCAACUAACGCGUGAAAUUUGACCGCCUGAGUGGUCCUGGAGUGAAACACCGAAGGAAUUGACGGGGACCCGCACAAGCGGUGGAUGAUGUGGAUUAAUUCGAUGCAACGCGAAAAACCUUACCUACCCUUGACAUGUCUGGAAUCCCGAAAGAGAUUUGGGAGUGCUCUUAGAGAACCGGAACACAGGUGCACCAUGGCUGUCGUCAGCUCGUGCGUGGAUGUUGGGUUAAGUCCCGCAACGGCGCAACCCUUGUCGUGGAUUGCUACGAAAGGGCGCUCUAAUGAGACUGCCGGUGACAAACCGGAGGAAGGUGGGGAUGACGUCAAGUCCUCAUGGCCCUUAUGGGUAGGGCUUCACACGUCAUACAAUGGUCAGGACAGAGGUCGCCAACCCGCGAGGGGAGCCAAUCCCAGAAACCCGAUCGUAGUCCGGAUCGCAGUCUGCAACUCGACUGCGUGAAGUCAGAAUCGCUAAUAAUGCGGAUCAGCAUGUCGCAGUGGGCGUUCCCCGGGUCUUGUACACACCGCCGUCACACCAUGGGAGUGGGUUUUACCAGAAGUAGUUAGCUAACCGUAAGGAGAGGCGAUUACCACGGUAGGAUUCAUGACUGGGGUGAAGUCGUAACAAGGUAA